AGAUUGAACGCUGGCGGCAUGCCUUACACAUGCAAGUCGAACGGCAGCACGGGGGCAACCCUGGUGGCGAGUGGCGAACGGGUGAGUAACAUAUCGGAACGUGCCCUGGAGUGGGGGGAUAACUAGUCGAAAGACUAGCUAAUACCGCAUACGAUCUACGGAUGAAAGUGGGGGAUCGCAAGACCUCAUGCUCGUGGAGCGGCCGAUAUCUGAUUAGCUAGUUGGUGGGGUAAAGGCCUACCAAGGCAUCGAUCAGUAGCUGGUCUGAGAGGACGACCAGCCACACUGGGACUGAGACACGGCCCAGACUCCUACGGGAGGCAGCAGUGGGGAAUUUUGGACAAGUGGGCGCAAGCCUGAUCCAGCAAUGCCGCGUGAGUGAAGAGGCCUUGGUUGUAAGCUCUUUGUCAGGAAGAAACGGUGAGGACUAAGUA
rnacentral:rRNA from 1 species